CCUACGGGAGGCAGCAGUAAGGAAUAUUGGUCAAUGGACGAAAGUCUGAACCAGCCAUGCCGCGUGAAGGAUUAAGGCCCUCUGGGUUGUAAACUUCUUUUAUCUGGGACGAAAAAAGGGUAUUCUUACUCACUUGACGGUACCAGAGGAAUAAGCACCGGCUAACUCCGUGCCAGCAGCCGCGGUAAUACGGAGGGUGCAAGCGUUAUCCGGAUUUACUGGGUUUAAAGGGUGCGUAGGUGGGCUUGUAAGUCAGUGGUGAAAUCUCCGGGCUUAACCCGGGAAACUGCCAUUGAUACUAUAGGUCUUGAAUUAUCUGGAGGUAAGCGGAAUAUGUCAUGUAGCGGUGAAAUGCUUAGAUAUGACAUAGAACACCAAUUGCGAAGGCAGCUUACUACGGAUAUAUUGACACUGAGGCACGAAAGCGUGGGGAUCAAACAGGAUUAGAUACCCUGGUAGUCCACGCCCUAAACGAUGGAUACUCGACAUCAGCGAUACACUGUUGUGUCUGAGCGAAGCAUUAGUAUCCACCUGGGAAUACGAUCGCAGAUUGAACUUAAGAUAGUGCG
rnacentral:rRNA from 1 species